rnacentral:rRNA from 1 species
AUGUUCUUUGUCAUCUUUAUAGAUGAAUAUGACCUAUUUAUUUACAACAUUGCAAAAUUUCACUCCCUUGCUGUCUUGAUCAGUUAUGAUGCUGAAAGUCAAUUAUGUAUUUUUUUUAGUAUUGCUAGUCUAGGAAAUGAAGGGGAGCCUUGGCGAGUGGUAAAGCUGCUGCCUUGUGACCAUGAGGUCACGGGUUCAAGUCCUGGAAACAGCCUCUUGCAGAAAUGUAGGGAAAGGCUGCGUACAAUAGACCCAAAGUGGUCGGACCCUUCCCCAGAUCCUGCGCAAGCGGGAGCUACAUGCACUGGGGCUGCCCUUUUAUUGCUAGUCUAG